rnacentral:rRNA from 1 species
UACGUAGGGGGCGAGCGUUGUCCGGAUUCAUUGGGCGUAAAGAGCUCGUAGGCGGCUUGGCAAGCCGGGUGUGAAAACUCCAGGCUCAACCUGGAGACGCCACCCGGGACUGCUAUGGCUAGAGUCCGGUAGGGGAUCACGGAAUUCCUGGUGUAGCGGUGAAAUGCGCAGAUAUCAGGAGGAACACCGGUGGCGAAGGCGGGACUCUGGGCCGAUAAUGACGCUGAGGAGCGAAAGCGUGGGGAGCGAACAGG